GAUGAACGCUGGCGGCGUGCCUAAUACAUGCAAGUCGAGCGAACGGACGAGAAGCUUGCUUCUCUGAUGUUAGCGGCGGACGGGUGCGUAACACGUGGAUAACCUACCUAUAAGACUGGGAUAACUUCGGGAAACCGGAGCUAAUACCGGAUAAUAUUUUGAACCGCAUGGUUCAAAAGUGAAAGACGGUCUUGCUGUCACUUAUAGAUGGAUCCGCGCUGCAUUAGCUAGUUGGUAAGGUAACGGCUUACCAAGGCAACGAUGCAUAGCCGACCUGAGAGGGUGAUCGGCCACACUGGAACUGAGACACGGUCCAGACUCCUACGGGAGGCAGCAGUAGGAAAUCUUCCGCAAUGGGCGAAAGCCUGACGGAGCAACGCCGCGUGAGUGAUGAAGGUCUUCGGAUCGUAAAACUCUGUUAUUAGGGAAGAACAUAUGUGUAAGUAACUGUGCACAUCUUGACGGUACCUAAUCAGAAAGCCACGGCUAACUACGUG
rnacentral:rRNA from 1 species